rnacentral:lncRNA from 1 species
UUUUAUUUAAAAAUGAAUAGUUCCUUUUUGAGAUGAACAUAGAUACCCCAAAAAAGGGCAUACAAGCAUGUACAAUUUAAUAAUUAUUAAGUACAGACACAUGUAACCACGAUGCAAAACGUGUAAUCACCAUCCAGGUCAAGAAAUAAGACAUUGUAGCACUGUAGAGCAAGUCAUCCCACACCUCCAGAGGGAACUCUUAUCCCAACUUUUAUGAUAAUCAUUUCACCAAUUCCCUUUUCAAACAACCUGUCCUAAAAGUCAUGGUGGGGAAAAGAAAAAAGAACCCAUGUGUUGGCAGCCUGGCCUCAUGGCCUAGUGGUUAAGUUCAGCAUGCUGCUUUGGUGACCUAGGUUUGUGGGCUCAGAUCCCAGGCACAGACCUAUACCACUCGUCAGCUGUGCUGUGGCAGUGACCCACAUAUAAAAUAGAGGAAGAUUAGCAACAGAUGUUAGCUCAGGGCUAAUCUUCAUCAGCAAAAAAAAAUAAGAGCCCGUGUGGUCUCUUGAUAAGAUGCUAACCAUGGUCAGUUUCUCCAUAGUAAUUACUACACGUCACAAUUAGUUUAAAAAGUCUUCUGAGACCAUCAUUGCCCCAUGAGACUCUAAUUCAGAUUCCUGAUGCUGAAUAUGAUGAAUCAUAUUCAAAGACUAUAGGGUCUCUCUGAGAAGACUUUUCCCCAGAUGUUCUAAAUUGGAUGCUUUUUUGCUUUUAUACCCUGAACAGGUUUUGUGGGCUCUGAGAGGAUCGUGAUUCUCCUUGGUGGCAGAACAGAGACAAUGGAUAUUGAAGACACUUAGCCCAAACACCUGUGAAGAAGGCCUCAGGUCAGAAGAGACAUGUCCCUCCUUCAUAUGACCCUUCAAAGGCUGGAGGAGGUGUUUGAGGGAACUGCAUCUCAAUCCUGUCAUGUGGUAGGCAGCCUAGUGAUAGGCAACCUAAUUACCCUUGACUUUGCUUAACCUACCUGACUUCUGAAUCAUGAUAAUAGCUGCCAUUUUUUGAGCUCUUGCCUUAUGCUAGGAAAUGUG